rnacentral:rRNA from 1 species
GACGAACGCUGGCGGCGUGCUUAACACAUGCAAGUCGAACGGUAAGGCCCUUCGGGGUACACGAGUGGCGAACGGGUGAGUAACACGUGGGUGAUCUGCCCUGCACUUCGGGAUAAGCCUGGGAAACUGGGUCUAAUACCGGAUAGGACUCCGGACUGCAUGGUCUGGGGUGGAAAGCUUUUGCGGUGUGGGAUGGGCCCGCGGCCUAUCAGCUUGUUGGUGGGGUGAUGGCCUACCGAGGCGACGACGGGUAGCCGGCCUGAGAGGGUGACCGGCCAGUCUGGGGCUGAUCUACGGCCCAGACUCCUACGGGAGGCAGCAGUGGGGAAUAUUGCACAAUGGGCGCUAGCCUGAUGCAGCGACGCCGCGUGAGGGAUGACGGCCUUCGGGUUGUAAACCUCUUUCAGCAUCGACGAAGCGAAAGUGACGGUAGGUGCAGAAGAAGGACCGGCCAACUACGUGCCAGCCGCCGCCGUAA